ensembl:lncRNA
CAGGCAUGAUGACAUUAAAAUGAGACCAAUCACAGCAGAUAAGCCUCAUUCAAAGGAGGGGUUUGGAAAAAUGAAUCAUUGAGCGAGUCGUUGAGCAAGUAAGCUUUCUUUGUUGCAGAAGAGGAUGCACAAAGCCAUGCUAAAAUACUUCAAACACCGCAGCGUCUACAGCAAGGCAGAGCUGGCCCGCUUCCAGACCCUCUCCAACCAGAACAACCAGAAAAUGAAAGCCCUCCAGGAGGAGUUGUCAAACGCAAUCCAGCGCCUCUCUCAGUUCCUGCUCUCGCUGACAGAUGACUCAACUACCAGCCAUGUCCCGCAGCAAGCAAACAGACCCAUCGCAGAUGCCGAUGGAUGGAGCAGGAAGAUGCAUACAGUUCAGAUAGCGGCGUAAUUGGACGCUCACCUGCACCAGACAACUUACUUAAACCCCCAGCAUGCUUCACUCUCUCCCCUGUCCGACGCUCACGGCCCAAUCCAUAACAAUGAAGCAGGUGACUUUCAUGCUACUGUCAGGAAUGAUCUAAUUUUAGCGGGGUGAAUGAUUGCAAUUGGCUUUGCCUCAUCAGAUAAUUAAUCUAUGUCACCAUUAAUUGGAAAAGAGAAUAAUUAGGGGGCUGUGUUGACAGAAAUUCUACGCUUCUCUAGAUUCUUGGAUCUAAUUACACCUACUUAAACCCCUCUGACCUUAACUAGCAGAUAGUAUACCUGUGUAACCCUAACCAGGCUGGGGUUGGUCUCGACCGCCUCUCGCUCUGCGUCCUUUGUCAUUUUUUUCCUCCUUUCUGGCUUGUUUAUCCUCUCUUUUCCUGUCUCCUCAGAGAGCUGUCUCCC